rnacentral:rRNA from 1 species
UACGUAGGGUGCGAGCGUUGCCCGGAUUUAUUGGGCGUAAAGCGCGUGUAGGCGGCAGUGCAAGUCGGGUGUGAAAGCCCUCAGCUCAACUGAGGAAGUGCGCCCGAAACUGCAUUGCUUGAGUACCGGAGAGGAUGGUGGAAUUCCCGAAGUAGAGGUGAAAUUCGUAGAUAUUGGGAGGAACACCGGUGGCGAAGGCGACCAUCUGGACGGAUACUGACGCUGAGACGCGAAAGCGUGGGUAGCAAACAGG